rnacentral:rRNA from 1 species
GACGAACGCUGGCGGCGUGCUUAACACAUGCCAGUCGAACGGAAAGGCCCUGCUUUUGUGGGGUGCUCGAGUGGCGAACGGGUGAGUAACACGUGAGUAACCUGCCCUUGACUUUGGGAUAACUUCAGGAAACUGGGGCUAAUACCGGAUAGGAGCUCCUGCUGCAUGGUGGGGGUUGGAAAGUUUCGGCGGUUGGGGAUGGACUCGCGGCUUAUCAGCUUGUUGGUGGGGUAGUGGCUUACCAAGGCUUUGACGGGUAGCCGGCCUGAGAGGGUGACCGGCCACAUUGGGACUGAGAUACGGCCCAGACUCCUACGGGAGGCAGUAGUGGGGAAUAUUGCACAAUGGGCGGAAGCCUGAGGCAGCAACGCCGCGUGCGGGAUGACGGCCUUCGGGUUGUAAACCGCUUUCGCCUGUGACGAAGCGUGAGUGACGGUAAUGGGUAAAGAAGCACCGGCUAACUACGUG